GUUCAACAGAACCAGUGCUAGCUUGCUCCAAGAUGAACCCACCACUGACCAAGGCCAAAUGCAUCAGCUGUGAUGGUAGCACCUCUGAGAUAAUACAGUGAAGAAGAGGUAAAAACUGCUCCACAACAGUAGCUGGGAGAGAGGAGUGAGAAUAGGUGAGAGAAACAACCUUGCAGCAACCAAGGUCAGUGCAGGAGUGGAAGGAGACGCUCCAGGCAGAGGAGAGAUUCCCCUGUGGCCUGUGGUACAGACCAUGGUGAGGGCAGGCUGUCCCUCUGCCAGCCAUGGAGGUCCAUGGAGCAGCAGAUAUCCACCUGCCCAUGGAGGACCCCAUGUCAGAGCAGGUUUUCGUGCUGGGUCUUGGGGAGUUGGCAGGGAGCCAAAUAAAACUUAGACAGCUGUGACUCCAUAAGAAGCCUGCACUGAAGCAGGGUCCUGACAGGACCUGUGGCCUUGAGAAGAGAGGAGCCCAUACUGGAGCAGUUCAUGAAGAACUGGAGCCCAUGGGGAGGACCCACGUUGGAAAGUUCACGGAUGUCUGCCUCCAUGGGAGGGACCUCAUGCCGGAGCAGGGGAAGAGUGCAGUGGAAAUUUGGCAAGUUUGAGUGCCUGCAUAAUGAGGAGUCUAUGGCCUUCUCCCACCGUCUUGCAAGUUUCACUGUUGGAGAAUCCAUUCCAGUACUGGGGUUUUCUGCUGUUUUUGUUUUUGAUUGGGUUUGGUUUGGUUUGUUGGGUUUUUUAAUAGCUGAAGAGACCUAGAUCUUUUUAAUUUUUGUACUUUUAUUUCUGUCACUGCCCUGGCAGAGUUCUUCUUUACCACUGGAAAAUGUUCUCAGGCUCUGUCUUACAAGUGCUCUCUAAAAGACGUCAGGCACUUUUACAUAUUUAUCUAGUAACAGGUGUUGCCUUGCCCACUGUCUUUUCAUGUAACAUCUGUCCCAACUCCCUAUUUGCCCAUAAAAGUCAAGUAUGUCCUGCCUCACAGGACAUAAAAUUGUUCUCUGGAAACAAAUAAACUUUCCUUUUGUGUCAAUUGAUUCCCACAAUAUUACUAAAACUAUUGUUCUGUCAGGACACUAGACAA